GUCUUGUGAAGCGUUUGUGGUUGAAUUUUACCUCAAAUUGAAGCUUAUAUUACGAAUAAUAACAUGCCUAACAAAAAUAUGUUUGGGAAAUUGGCAAUUUUAAUUAAAGUGAUAUUUUUAGGUGGAUUUUUCACUUGGAAAAAUACAAUGGUUUUGUCAGAAGGCGAGGGUUUCUGCAUGCAUGUAUUAUCUAGUUAGAUAUCGAUUAAGGGUGCACCGGAAUCAAUCUUUUAAGUUCCGGCUGGCAGGGCCUUUUUUAAGGAUUUUCCCGUGGGGGGGGGCAUUUUUUGAA